rnacentral:rRNA from 1 species
UACGAAGGGGGCUAGCGUUGUUCGGAAUUACUGGGCGUAAAGCGCGUGUAGGCGGGUCUUUAAGUCAGGGGUGAAAUGCCAAGGCUCAACCUUGGAACUGCCUUUGAUACUGGAGACCUUGAGUCCGGGAGAGGUGAGUGGAAUUGCGAGUGUAGAGGUGAAAUUCGUAGAUAUUCGCAAGAACACCAGUGGCGAAGGCAGCCCCCUGGGCCAAUACUGACGCUCAUGCACGAAAGCGUGGGGAGCAAACAGG